AGCGAACGCUGGCGGCAGGCUUAACACAUGCAAGUCGAGCGGGCACUUCGGUGUCAGCGGCAGACGGGUGAGUAACACGUGGGAACGUACCCUUUGGUUCGGAAUAACGCUGGGAAACUAGCGCUAAUACAGGAUACGCCCUUUUGGGGAAAGGCUUGCUGCCGCAGGCUCGGCGCGCGUCUGAUUAGCUAGUUGGUGGGGUAAUGGCCUACCAAGGCGACGAUCAGUAGCUGGUCUGAGAGGAUGAUCAGCCACACUGGGACUGCGACACGGCCCAGACUCGUACGGAAGGCAGCAGUGGGGAAUAUUGGACGAGGGGCGCAAGCCUGAUCCAGCCAUGCCGGGUGAGUGAUGAAGGCCUUAGGGUUGUAAAGCUCUUUUGUCCGGGACGAUAAUGACGGUACCGGAAGAAUAAGCCCCGGCUAACUUCGUG
rnacentral:rRNA from 1 species